GGUGUGUCUGUGAUGAGCCCACGGAACACUGCGCCAGGCGUGGCGCCCGAAAAGCAUGAGGAGACUUUCCAUGCUGCCUUCCUUCUGAGAUUACACC
ensembl:snoRNA